rnacentral:rRNA from 1 species
CUACCUACGGGGCGCAGCAGUGGGGAAUAUUGCACAAUGGGGGGAACCCUGAUGCAGCGACGCCGCGUGAGCGAUGAAGUAUUUCGGUAUGUAAAGCUCUAUCAGCAGGGAAGAAAAUGACGGUACCUGACUAAGAAGCCCCGGCUAACUACGUGCCAGCAGCCGCGGUAAUACGUAGGGGGCAAGCGUUAUCCGGAUUUACUGGGUGUAAAGGGAGCGUAGACGGCUGUGCAAGUCUGGAGUGAAAGGCAUGGGCUCAACCUGUGGACUGCUUUGGAAACUGUGGAACUGGAGUGCUGGAGAGG